AAUAUUUAAGAUCAUGUAGUAAAAAUCUCACCUGUCAAUUGAAGCAACCAGCUGUUUCGGAUGAUCAGAGCAACGGUACAAGUUGCUGGAGUCCCUGGGAGCCAGCCGUGGAGACAGAUCAGUAUUCAACCCCAUAUAAGUUGCAAAUACUUACUAUUUUUAACGACAAAUAUCUGGUAAUCCACUAGUUGCACGAGCAGCAAGAAGUGUAAGCUAAAAAGAAACUCGGGAAGGGGUCCACCUUGGCCUCUGAAAAAUAAUUGAAGAGCUAGAAGAAGUUCUUAACGAGAGCUUUUAUUGUCGUCAGAGAGAUCUUUGGCAUUUAAAGUCUGACAGAACCCAAGUCCAUGACGUAAACCAUUGAGGAGUUACCUCAUUGGGAGCCAGGGUGACCCAUCAGACCAUGUUUAUCAUAAUAAUUCAUUGUCAUGGAAACUGAAGCGUUGUGAGAAAUUUCAACUCUGUAGGACAACUGGAUUUAACUGGAAGUAGGAGAAAUCUAACUUGCAAGAUUUGAUCACAGACAGACAACAAUCAAUAUAGACAAAUAUCGGGACAGGUGAAACUAAAUAAAAGCUUGUAAUAGUUUAUAAGUCGCGCUUCGUUGCCUUGCUACUGAGGAUUAUUUCGCUUAGAUGAGAGGACUUAUGAAUAAAUUCACAUGAAAGUAGGUACCUCUGCUGUGUUUCGUAAUUCAAAUGCCUUCUGUGUACAUUUACUCUCCUCAUCAACGGGUGUGCUUCUGGACAAGACAAUGUGUAAAGUAUAUUGGUAAUGCCUACUGAAACCGUAAAGGCCGCUAGUAACAUAUACAGGAGAUGCACUAUCAUAGUUAGAUAUUAGAGAAAAUAUUAUAAAAUAAGCAAAAAAUAUAUUGGUACAAAAUAUUUAAAACAAAAUAAAUGCUAUAAAUAAAUUGGCAAUACGUGACAUUGUGAAAAUAUUUCUGUUCUCAUUUCACCAUUCUGUGAUUUUUACCAUAGAUAACUAACUGGUGGGCUCUGCGCAGCCGCGGUGGCUUUCACAUAUAGAUCCAUGGAAUUAGUACCUAGGUACUCCGUGGAGUACCUACUAAUUCCAUGUAUAGACCAUCGAUCGCUUUUAUGCAGCCUUCAAUUUAAUGCUCUCCAUGUGACACAUCAUCACCAAAUUAGAGUGAUGUCCAUGAAUAUAUUUUUUUCGUAAGGAAUUAGGUAUUAGUUUAGGACACUCGCAAGUUAAGAUUAUAUAAGCUGUAAUAAUCUAAAGUGACGUUCGCCGAGUAAAAAUGAUAAUUUUAGCGAUUUUUUUUUUCACUUUUUGACAUUUUCUAAGAAUGACAGUUUGGUAUCGGAGCGUAGGGUAAAAUUCGAUGCCGAAAAGAAUUGGCUGGACGUAACUCUGGCGUGCACACCAGCGCCCUCUUGGUACCUGCGGCGUACUUCGUGGCGCGAAUGUCCGCCACUGAUGGGUCUCCCGCGGGAACUAGCCGCCGAACUCA